ensembl:snRNA U1 U1 spliceosomal RNA
AUACUAACCUGGCAUGGGAGAUAUCAUGAUCACAAAGGCGGUUUUCCCAGGGAGAGGAUUACUCAUUACAUUCUGAAUGCGCUGUCCACUGUGAUUACCCCAAAUGUGGGAAAUUCAACUGCAUAAUUUGUGGUAGUAGAAGACUGCAUUCAUUCUCUCCCCUG